rnacentral:rRNA from 1 species
GAGGAAUAUUGGUCAAUGGACGGAAGUCUGAACCAGCCAAGUAGCGUGCAGGAUGACGGCCCUAUGGGUUGUAAACUGCUUUUGUAUGGGGAUAAAGUCAAUCACGUGUGAUUGUUUGCAGGUACCAUACGAAUAAGGACCGGCUAAUUCCGUGCCAGCAGCCGCGGUAAUACGGAAGGUCCGGGCGUUAUCCGGAUUUAUUGGGUUUAAAGGGAGCGUAGGCCGGAGAUUAAGUGUGUUGUGAAAUGUAGACGCUCAACGUCUGACUUGCAGCGCAUACUGGUUUCCUUGAGUACGCACAACGUUGGCGGAAUUCGUCGUGUAGCGGUGAAAUGCUUAGAUAUGACGAAGAACUCCGAUUGCGAAGGCAGCUGACGGGAGCGCAACUGACGCUUAAGCUCGAAGGUGCGGGUAUCGAACAGGAUUAGAUACCCUGGUAGUCCGCACAGUAAACGAUGGAUGCCCGCUGUUGGUGCCUGGUAUCAGCGGCUAAGCGAAAGCAUUAAGCAUCCCACCUGGGGAGUACGCCGGCAACGGUG